CCACAAGCAUAUGCUAGCUCAGAUUUCAAAAGGUGUCUCUCUCCAAGUCAAACCACAAGCAUAUGCUAGCUCAGAUUUCAAAAGGUGUCUCUCUCCAAGUCAAACCACAAGCAUAUGCUAGCUCAGAUUUCAAAAGGUGUCUCUCUCCAAGUCAAACCACAAGCAUAUGCUAGCUCAGAUUUCAAAAGGUGUCUCUCUCCAAGUCAAACCACAAGCAUAUGCUAGCUCAGAUUUCAAAAGGUGUCUCUCUCCAAGUCAAACCACAAGCAUAUGCUAGCUCAGAUUUCAAAAGGUGUCUCUCUCCAAGUCAAACCACAAGCAUAUGCUAGCUCAGAUUUCAAAAGGUGUCUCUCUCCAAGUCAAACCACAAGCAUAUGCUAGCUCAGAUUUCAAAAGGUGUCUCUCUCCAAGUCAAACCACAAGCAUAUGCUAGCUCAGAUUUCAAAAGGUGUCUCUCUCCAAGUCAAACCACAAGCAUAUGCUAGCUCAGAUUUCAAAAGGUGUCUCUCUCCAAGUCAAACCACAAGCAUAUGCUAGCUCAGAUUUCAAAAGGUGUCUCUCUCCAAGUCAAACCACAAGCAUAUGCUAGCUCAGAUUUCAAAAGGUGUCUCUCUCCAAGUCAAACCACAAGCAUAUGCUAGCUCAGAUUUCAAAAGGUGUCUCUCUCCAAGUCAAACCACAAGCAUAUGCUAGCUCAGAUUUCAAAAGGUGUCUCUCUCCAAGUCAAACCACAAGCAUAUGCUAGCUCAGAUUUCAAAAGGUGUCUCUCUCCAAGUCAAACCACAAGCAUAUGCUAGCUCAGAUUUCAAAAGGUGUCUCUCUCCAAGUCAAACCACAAGCAUAUGCUAGCUCAGAUUUCAAAAGGUGUCUCUCUCCAAGUCAAACCACAAGCAUAUGCUAGCUCAGAUUUCAAAAGGUGUCUCUCUCCAAGUCAAACCACAAGCAUAUGCUAGCUCAGAUUUCAAAAGGUGUCUCUCUCCAAGUCAAACCACAAGCAUAUGCUAGCUCAGAUUUCAAAAGGUGUCUCUCUCCAAGUCAAACCACAAGCAUAUGCUAGCUCAGAUUUCAAAAGGUGUCUCUCUCCAAGUCAAACCACAAGCAUAUGCUAGCUCAGAUUUCAAAAGGUGUCUCUCUCCAAGUCAAACCACAAGCAUAUGCUAGCUCAGAUUUCAAAAGGUGUUUCUCUCCAAGUCAAACCACAAGCAUAUGCUAGCUCAGAUUUCAAAAGGUGUCUCUCUCCAAGUCAAACCACAAGCAUAUGCUAGCUCAGAUUUCAAAAGGUGUUUGCAGAAUAAUCAUUUCCAUGGACAGGUGACACCAAGAUCCCCUUGUUAUCAGCUGUGAGGCUUAGUUCAGAGGAUGUUCAUUGCUGUUCCAUAGAAAUCACUUCCACUCUGUGCGGACAGGAUCUUUUUGUCCUCGCUUAAUGACUGCACUAAAAGUUUUGACCCAAGGAAGAGUAGCCGCUAAAUUGGGGAUCCUAAUAAAUACUACAUCUAUAGAAUGAGGAACUAAACUGAUGGUCUCAGAACAGUUAAACCUACACCUUCUGUUUCCGUUGGAUUAUGGAUUGGCCUUUCAACAUGACAAACUUGAAAAAGCUGCUAAUUCUUGACUAAAAGGACACUGACUGUCCCCAAAUUCCCACCACAACGUCAAGCCACCACAACAUCAAGUAGGAGACGUUUUAUUAUGAGAACAGCAAACCAAUGAUUAAUCUGCUAAUGAAGCAGGCCUAAUAGAGAGAGCCUAGAUUAGUACCAAAAACAACAUAGCAUGGAACUGGCUGAUACUAUGAAACACCAGCAGAUAAAUGAGGCUCCGUUAGAAUUCUAGAAUGACAUAAUUCAGUCACUACUUCUAUGGGCUUACAUUGGCCUACU